rnacentral:rRNA from 1 species
GUAAGUUAUUAAGGGCACACGGUGGAUGCCUUGGCAUUAAGAGCCGAUGAAGGACGUGUGAAUCUGCGAUAAGCCUCGGGGAGCCGAUAACUGGGCUGUGAUCCGAGGAUUUCCGAAUGGGGAAACCUGGCUCAUCUUCAUGGUGAGUUACCGCCAGCUGAAUGUAUAGGCUGGUUGGGGGGAACGCGGGGAAGUGAAACAUCUCAGUACCCGCAGGAAGAGAAAAUAAAGUAAUGAUUCUGUGAGUAGUGGCGAGCGAAAGCGGAAGAGACUAAACCUGUGGUGUGUGAUAGCGGUUAGGCGUUGCAUCAUGGGGGUUGUGGGAGUCACAGUGGCAGUUCUAACUGGCUGCCGGCAUGAUGUUCAGGAUGGUAGGUGAACGACUUGGAAUGGUCGGCCGUAGAGGGUGAGAGUCCCGUAAUCGAAAUUGUUCUGUCCGUGGUGUGGCCACCCGAGUAGCACGGGGCUCGUGGAAUCUCGUGUGAAUCUGCCAGGACCACCUGGUAAGUCUAAAUACUUCUUAAUGACCGAUAGUGAAUCAGUACCGUGAGGGAAUGGUGAAAAGUACCCCGGGAGGGGAGUGAAAUAGUACCUGAAACCGUGUGCUUACAAGCCGUUGGAGCCUUUUGGGGUGACAGCGUGCCUUUUGAAGAAUGAGCCUGCGAGUUAGUGUUAUGUCGCGAGGUUAACCCGUGUGGGGUAUCCGUAGCGAAAGCGAGUCUGAAUAGGGCGUUUGAGUGGCAUGACCUAGACCCGAAGCGGAGUGAUCUAUCCAUGGCCAGGUUGAAGCGACGGUAAGACGUCGUGGAGGACCGAACCCACUUCAGUUGAAAAUGGAGGGGAUGAGCUGUGGAUAGGGGUGAAAGGCCAAUCAAACUCUGUGAUAGCUGGUUCUCCCCGAAAUGCAUUUAGGUGCAGCGUUACGUGUUUCUUGCCGGAGGUAGAGCUACUGGAUGGCCGAUGGGCCUUCACGGGUUACUGACGUCAGCUAAACUCCGAAUGCCGGUAAGUGAGAGCGUAGCAGUGAGACAGUGGGGGAUAAGCUUCAUUGUCGAGAGGGAAACAGCCCAGACCACCAACUAAGGCCCCUAAGCGUGUGCUAAGUGGGAAAGGAUGUGGAGUUGCUUAGACAACCAGGAGGUUGGCUUAGAAGCAGCCAUCCUUGAAAGAGUGCGUAACAGCUCACUGGUCAAGUGAUUCUGCGCCGAUAAUGUAGCGGGGCUCAAGUACACCGCCGAAGUUGUGGCAAUGAUCUUUUUGGAUUGUUGGGUAGGGGAGCGUCGUGUGGCCGUUGAAGCUGCGGUGUAAACCAGUGGUGGAGGCUAUGCGAGUGAGAAUGCAGGCAUGAGUAGCGAAAGAUGAGUGAGAAACUCAUCCGCCGGAUGAUCAAGGGUUCCAGGGUCAAGUUAAUCUGCCCUGGGUUAGUCGGGGCCUAAGGCGAGGCCGACAGGCGUAGUCGAUGGAUAACGGGUUGAUAUUCCCGUACCUUGGAGGUAAACGUGUUAACAGGUGUGACGCAGGAAGGUAGCCAAGCCACGCGAUGGUUGUCGUGGUCUAAGCGUGUAGGGUUGUCGGUUGUUAAAUGCGCCGGCUGUGUGCCUGAGACGUGAUGGGACCCCGUUUUUGGGGGAUUUGGUGAUCCUAUGCUGCCGAGAAAAGCAUCGGCGUGAGGUUUUAGCCGCCCGUACCCUAAACCGACACAGGUGAUCAGGUAGAGAAUACUAAGGCGAUCGAGAGAAUCAUGGUUAAGGAACUCGGCAAAAUGCCCCCGUAACUUCGGGAGAAGGGGGACCUUGAGCGUGAUGGGCACUUGCUGCCUGGAGCGUGUAUGGGUCGCAGAGACCAGGGGGAAGCGACUGUUUAUCAAAAACACAGGUCCGUGCGAAGUCGUAAGACGAUGUAUACGGACUGACUCCUGCCCGGUGCUGGAAGGUUAAGAGGAUUGGUUAGCUCUUUUGGGCGAAGCUGAGAAUUUAAGCCCCAGUAAACGGCGGUGGUAACUAUAACCAUCCUAAGGUAGCGAAAUUCCUUGUCGGGUAAGUUCCGACCUGCACGUGGGUAGUUUAACUGGGGCGGUUGCCUCCUAAAGUGUAACGGAGGCGCCCAAAGGUUCCCUCAGCCUGGUUGGCAAUCAGGUGUUGAGUGUAAGUGCACAAGGGAGCUUGACUGUGAGACUGGCAGGUCGAGCAGGGACGAAAGUCGGGACUAGUGAUCCGGCGGUACGUUGUGGAACGGCCGUCGCUCAACGGAUAAAAGGUACCUCGGGGAUAACAGGCUGAUCUUGCCCAAGAGUCCAUAUCGACGGCAUGGUUUGGCACCUCGAUGUCGGCUCGUCGCAUCCUGGGGCUGGAGUCGGUCCCAAGGGUUGGGCUGUUCGCCCAUUAAAGCGGUACGCGAGCUGGGUUCAGAACGUCGUGAGACAGUUCGGUCCCUAUCCGCUGCGCGCGUUGGAAAUUUGAGAAAGGCUGUCCUUAGUACGAGAGGACCGGGACGGACGAACCUCUGGUAUGUCAGUUGUACCGCCAGGUGCAUGGCUGAUUGGCUACGUUCGGGAGGGAUAACCGCUGAA